AUCCCAUUUCUCUGCAAUGGAGAAACCACCGGAAGAAAAAGCCACCGCCCAGAGACCAAACCGGUUUCGAAAUCGAUCAAAGCCGGUUCUCCAGUUCCGACCCGUCGGGAGAAUCACUCGAGUACCUCGCGCUGCUGAAAAGUAAUAGAGCUUGCUGCCAGAGACAACAAGAAGUUGGCGAUCAUACACUUCUUCUUUUGCCGAAAGAACGAUGAAGCUUUUACCAAAUUUCUCUAUUUUUUUUCAAACUUUUGUAUGUAUGUAUGUGUAUGUAUGUGUGUGUAUGUAUAAUGUAUGUAUGUAAAGAGAGAGAGUGAGGGAG